UUUUACAGUUUAUGUAUUGAAUAGACAAAAGUUUUUAUUUAUUGUUUCAAUAUAUUGGUGUGAGUUGACUGCACACAACUUUCAUGUGUCUACAAUAUACUCAUUAUACUGGAAAGUGAUCUAUAGCUCUGCCAGUUUUGUAGAGCAUCAGGGAAUCUCAACAUAAGGACAUACUGCGAAUAUUGAUGGUCCACUCCUUCAAAUAUUAUAUAAGAGUUAAAAACUGUACAUUUUCUUCUCUGCAAGACAUCCACAACCAUUAGUUUAGACUCAUUAAAAGAAUGGAUUGGGCUAUUGCUGAAAUGUGUUUUCUUGUAGACGUCUUGGUUACUAUGGUAUCAGUGAUUAAAUGUCUUGAGCUGUUUUUUAAAAAGUUAAUCAAUAAGGCAAAAAAAUCAGCAAUGCGACCCAAAGGACCAGCAAGUUGCCAUGGAAUUUAUCCAGUGGACAGUGUGGUGGAAGAUUAGAUUCAAUUCAACAAAACAACAAACUGACAGUGUUAAUGUUUUCUUUCAUUCUGAGUUUACU
rnacentral:sRNA from 1 species